CCCUUAGAUGUCCUGGGCUGCACGCGCGCUACACUGGAAGUUACGGAUUGAGAUACUACCUUGUCCGAAAUGGUCCGGGUAAUCACCUAAAAGCUUGUCAUAAUUGGAAUGGAUUAUUGUAACUAGUAAUCCUGAACGAGGAAUUCCUAGUAAGUCCCAGUCAACAGCUGGUACUGAUUACGUCCCUGCCCUUUGUACACACCGCCCGUCGCUACUACUGAUUGGACGUUUAAGCAAGAUUUUUAAACACUGGCAGUGUGUAGUUCACGCUAUACUACAGUGAGAAGAAGAAGAUCGAGCUUACUUGUCUAGAGGAAGUAAAAGUCGUAACA
rnacentral:rRNA from 1 species